rnacentral:lncRNA from 1 species
GCUAAAGGCUAAAUAAGCAAGAUGAUAAAAAAAAAACAAUAAUAAUAAUAAUAAAUAAAUAAAAUAAUAAGAAUAGACAACAAAGAUAGAAUAAUACUACAUGAAAACAUGAAGUCGAUUUAUUUAAAGUUAGCAGACCAGAUGAAUGGUCAAUAUGAGAAAUGAGAAAUGUAGUUCUUAGAUUAUAUUUAAUCUGAGGCAAUGUAAGUGGGCGUAAUUUAAUAUCUCUUCAUUCUCAAUCAGACAAUGUACUGACUUCAAACUGAAUGAAUAUCAAAAGCUAAAAGAAAAACAAAAGACCCUUUCUAACUUGUAGAAGACUAUGGAUAAAAUAUAUUGGAUCUCCAAAAGUUCUUGUUUCUUUUCCCCAGUUUUACGGUGAAGCAUAAGAAGAGGUGUAUAAGGUUUGUGGCAUGAAUUAAACUCUCUGUACAAAACCCAACAGACUAAGGUAGGUUUCAGCUAAAACUUGUCUAAUAAGGGCACAAGAUUCAUCACCAACUUUUUUUCUCGCAAAAGUCAAAAGGGCUCUCUCCAAUUUGAUAUUAUAAACAUGAUAUGAUAAACAUCAACAAUCAGAACAUACCAAAUUAGUCAUACAAUUAACUUAAAAAAGAAAUUUUCAUUCUUAAACGUUUUUGGAAUGGAAGGUAUAGUUACUUUGCUACAGGGCAUAUGCGAGGUUUUAUUAUUUUGUGUACGAGUCCUGCUAUAUAUUGCGAAAGAAUUUUGCCGAAUUACGAUUGCGACGUAUAUCAAUACAUGAGAUUGGUAGAAUUAUAAAAUUGGCCCAUUAUAUCAAACACAUCGAAAAAAUAGUACCAACUAAAGUUAUCCACGUAACUCGCAAUAAAAAAGUCAACAUGUAAAGUCGCAAUAUAUAUCAUUUUCCUAAAGAGAGAAAAAAAUAACUACAAGACUUUUUAACACUUUUAGUACAAGUAGAUCGAAUGUGUCAAAAUGUAAAAAUCUAGCAACUAACCAUUGAGACCGAACAGCUUACAGAUAUAAAGAAACUAGACAUGAAGCUUUGAUAGCUAUAAGAUUAGUUUGAUGUGAAGAGGACAGUUAGUUUGAGCGUGAAAGGCUAAAUAAACAAAAUGAUAAAAAAAAACAAUAAUAAUAAUAAUAAAUAAAUAAAAUAAUAAGAAUAGACAACAAAGAUAGAAUAAUACUACAUGAAAACAUGAAGUCGAUUUAUUUAAAGUUAGCAGACCAGAUGAAUGGUCAAUAUGAGAAAUGAGAAAUGUAGUUCUUAGAUUAUAUUUAAUCUGAGGCAAUGUAAGUGGGCGUAAUUUAAUAUCUCUUCAUUCUCAAUUAGACAAUGUACUGACUUCAAACUGAAUGAAUAUCAAAAGCUAAAAGAAAAACAAAAGACCCUUUCUAACUUGUAGAAGACUAUGGCUAAAAUAUAUUGGAUCUCCAAAAGUUCUUGUUUCUUUUCCCCAGUUUUACGGUGAAGCAGAAGAAGAGGUGUGUAAGGUUUGUGGCAUGAAUUAAACUCUCUGUACAAAACCCAACAGACUAAGGUAGGUUUCAGCUAAAACUUGUCUAAUAAGGGCACAAGAUUCAUCACCAACUUUUUUUCUCGCAAAAGUCAAAAGGGCUCUCUCCAAUUUGAUAUGAUAAACAUGAUAUGAUAAACAUCAACAAUCAGAACAUACCAAAUUAGUCAUACAAUUAACUUAAAAAAGAAAUUUUCAUUCUUAAACGUUUUUGGAAUGGAAGGUAUAGUUACUUUGCUACAGGGCAUAUGCGAGGUUUUAUUAUUUUGUGUACGAGUCCUGCUAUAUAUUGCGAAAGAAUUUUGCCGAAUUACGAUUGCAACGUAUAUCAAUACAUGAGAUUGGUAGAAUUAUAAAAUUGCCCAUUAUAUCAAACACAUCGAAAAAAUAGUACCAACUAAAGUUAUCCACGUAACUCGCAAUAAAAAAGUCAACAUGUAAAGUCGCAAUAUAUAUCAUUUUCCUAAAGUGAGAAAAAAAUAACUACAAGACUUUUUAACACUUUUAGUACAAGUAGAUCGAAUGUGUCAAAAUGUAAAAAUCUAGCAACUGACCAUUGAGACCGAACAACAACUUACAGAUAUAAAGAAACUAGACAUGAAGCUUUGAUAGCUAUAAGAUUACAAAUUAAAA